AGAAGAAAAAAAGACAGGCGGCUGUUAUUCUCCUGCUACAAAGGGCGAUGGAGUAUCUGUACUACUCAUGUGGAUGGAAAAGAAGACGCUUCGCAAUCUGUCGCUGACAUCUACUGAAACUGCUCGAUUCGGAGGCGUUGGAUAUCUUUAUUCUGCGAGAAUUUUCCACAGGAAUCGUUAGGAAUCCACAGGUCUUUUGUUUGCACGUUUUAUUCACGAGAAUCGCCAUGGAAGAAGAGCGCGCGCGUUUAGUUUGAGUUACUGCUCGUGUUAUUUACAGAUAGACCGGAUGUUUCUGCCUCGGAAGGCUCAAUCUGAGACGCCGCCCUGUUAUUAGAACUCCGAGCAUGGCUACUCGCCUGAGGCUUGUGCUGCGUUUGCUAUUGCUGUACACAUUUGCUGUGCGGGAGGGCUGGCCAGUGUGUGUGGACGUGCCGUCUGACACGGAGGCCGUGGUAGACAAUUAUAUGAAGUUAACCUGCAUCUUCUGCAUGAAACGAGAGGAGAUCGCUGCAAAAACCAAAGUGGAUUGGUUCUACAUCGGUCCAGAUGACAGAAGAGUGCUUAUCUAUCAGUACGAUGGUGACCCACGGGAGCCAGAGGAUAUAGAAGAGCACUGGAGAGGUCGUCUGGUGUGGAAUGGCAGUAAGGACUUGCAGGAUGUCUCCAUUGUUAUCCAAAAGGUCACUUUAAAUGACACUGGCAAAUACGAAUGCGUGGUGUUCCGCCUCUUUGAGUUUGAUUCAUUCACGCCUUCUACUACAAAGACAAUCAAAAUCGAUCUGGAGGUGAAAGAGAAAGCGAGCCAGAACACCACAGCCCUGUAUUCAGAGAUCAUAAUGUAUGUUCUCCUGGUGUUCCUCACGUUCUGGUUGCUGGUGGAGAUGAUCUACUGCUAUAGGAAGAUCUCCAAAUCUGACGAGCAGGCGCAGGAUAAUGCGACAGACUACUUAGCGAUUCCCUCUGAAAAUAAAGAGAACCCGGGCCCUGCAGUUACGGAAUAAAAGUCUCACACCAUUUACGUUCUUCCCAUAAGGCCUGUACCCCUGAGUCUUCUCUUUACUGUUGUACAUGAAACUGGUGUUGAGUGGGUAGAAUUCAAUGAAGCUGUCAGCUGAGGACAUGUACUGAAGAGUCUUAAUAGCAAUUGGCUUAAAAUGGAGACAGGAGCCAAUCUUGUCAAAAACUCCCUAGAGCUGUUCUGAGAAACCACGAAACCUGCCAAAUGAAAUCCCUCUUGUCUUGAUCAUGUGAUUUGUGAAACAAACUCUUAACUGGUUCAUUAUGUCCCUCUGUCUCAGUGAAUUUCCACAGUGACACACAUCUAAUCUCAGACUGAUAAGGACUUGUCUCUAUUCUCAAUUUAGCCUUAGCAGAGACACAAAUACAGCAAACCAGAGCUGAAGAGCUAUCAUACUGCCUAUACACACACUUUUCUUGACCAGAUGUCAACCAGAAUUGUUGGAAUACCCACAUAACUCUUUCCCUCUUUGGUCUAUGCUAAUCUUACUCAUAGAUACAAAAAUAAGUCUGGAUUCUGAUUAGACUGGGUUUUUAUUGUCAUGUUUUCUAUAAAAUGAAUCUCAUAUUAUUUGUUGUUAUGUUUAGCUUAUAAGUCACUCAGCUUUGCCACUUUGGAAUCAAUAAUAUGUGAAACUGAGGCAGGCAAGCAGCUGUAAUGAGGUCAUACUGUGUGCAGUGUAUGCCUUUUGUGUGAUUGGAAACACGUGGUGUGGUUUGCCUUUACUGUGCAUUGGACAUUGCAGACAAUUGCAUUUAGAAUGAUUUUGUAGAUUUAUAGCAAGUCCCUGAGAUUAAGUUUGCACAAAUAUCACUAGAUUGAAUGGCCUAAUUAUUAACUUAUUCCACUGGAUGCUUGGCAGUUUGUACAGAAGCCACAUUGCAAUCUGUUGUUAUUGAUUAGUGCUUAGUAAUGUUCAAGCUCAACUGCUAUGGUGGGAUCUUUCGAAGACAAGUGUGCGUCACUGUAUACACUCAAAACACUGUCUUUAUCAUUUCUUUUAAAGAGCACCUAUUAUGGUUUUUCAAAUAUUACUUUUCAUGUAGUGUGUUAUAUAGCAGUUUGUGAAUGUAAAAAAGUCUGCAAACUUUCAAAAAUCAAAGUGCACGACAAAUGGAGUUAUUGACUCCCAAAAGAAAGAACCGAUUCUGAACACCUGAAAGGAGUCGUUAGUAAUUGCAGACUUACUUCCUGUACUAACCUACAUAAUUUGGUAACAAAAACCCCGCCUCUGGUCUUCAUUGGCUGCUCGUGAACAGCUUUGACCCGCCCUCAAACACUACACUAAGCGGUAGACCAAUCACAACAGACUGGGACAUCUGACCAAUCAGAGCAGUGUAGGCUCUCUGACAGAAGGAGUUUAGAUGAAUCCUUUAGAACGGAUCAUUGACCGAGUCGUUUUUGACACUGGGGAAAAAAAGGUAAUGCUGCAAUUUAAAUUAUGAGCAAAUUAAAGUGUUUAUUGACCUUGGAUGCAUGUAAAUGUAUUGUAUGAGACCUUUUAAACAAAAAUAGGCACAUUUAAAUCCAUAAUAGGUGCUCUUUAAUUUCUUUCUUUAAAAUUUAUAUAAACACUUGACUUUUGGCUGUACUAUGUGUUUGUAUUUCCUUUUUUUCACUGGUAUUCUGUUAUUAUGAAUUUAUACAUUUUAAUAUUUUUUUUUUUUAAUUAUUUUUAUAAAUAGGACAGUGGUGCAGGCUUCUCUUACUGUUAACUUUUGCCUUUUGUAUUAUCUGCCCUGUUAAACUGGAGCUGCUCAUCACUUAAUGUGAAAGCUUGUCAUACAUAGACUAUUAAACCAAGGCAACGCAUUCCAAAAA